rnacentral:rRNA from 1 species
UGGGGAAUAUUGCACAAUGGGCGAAAGCCUGAUGCAGCAACGCCGCGUGAGGGACGACGGCCUUCGGGUUGUAAACCUCUUUUAGCAAGGAAGAAGCGAAAGUGACGGUACUUGCAGAAAAAGCGCCGGCUAACUACGUGCCAGCAGCCGCGGUAAUACGUAGGGCGCAAGCGUUAUCCGGAAUUAUUGGGCGUAAAGAGCUCGUAGGCGGUUUGUCGCGUCUGCUGUGAAAACCUGGGGCUCAACCUCGGGCCUGCAGUGGGUACGGGCAGACUAGAGUGCGGUAGGGGAGAUUGGAACUCCUGGUGUAGCGGUGGAAUGCGCAGAUAUCAGGAAGAACACCGAUGGCGAAGGCAGAUCUCUGGGCCGUAACUGACGCUGAGGAGCGAAAGGGUGGGGAGCAAACAGGCUUAGAUACCCUGGUAGUCCACCCGUAAACGUUGGGAACUAGUUGUGGGGUCCAUUCCACGGAUUCCGUGACGCAGCUAACGCAUUAAGUUCCCCGCCUGGGGAGUACGGCCGCAAGGCUAAAACU